CUUAGCGCUAACCUCCUCCUCGUUCCCUAGAAAGCAGCUAACCUCCCCGCGUACCCACCUCCUCCCAGAUUUUUCUAUCCCCAAUCUCUCUCUCUCUCUCUCUCAUCCCCAAUUCACCUCUCAGCCGGGCUCCAUGACCACGCCGCUGCCUCGGCACCACCGAUUCCGGUAAGCUCCGGUGCUCUCCCGCGAAGUUUCUCACCAGCCCGUCUGUCCCUCGGCGCUCUCCACCGCCCCCGUGCCGCCGCGACGUCCUCCGCAACCCUACUGUUCGCCGCGGGUCGCCGGCGCGGCUGCCGCGCCUCCUCCGGUUUCUGGCUUGGUCUCGGCGGUGUUGCUCUGCCUCGGCUACCUCACCUCCGACAUUGAAGGUUUAGUAAGGCACUCUCCUGUACCCGUACUCUCUCUGGUGCUUUGUGAGGACAUGGCCAUCAUGCCAUGGUGGAUUCUUUAUUGGCAAUCACGACUGUGAUCUAAACUAUCUUAUCAUUUGCCUGAUGCACUACUACCUGCGCUCGCUUGUACCUGCAUCCACGCCGCCCCACAGUCUUGAGUUCUCUAUUGCACACUCAAAUACAACUGCCUAGUGUUAGCCAUCGUCGUAUUGUACAUCACAGCUGGAUAAGAACCCAUCACGGUCAGUGAUCUUGCUGGAGGUCCAAAUAUUCAGUUCAUUUAAGUUUCGGGCUUGCAUUAUACAUAGAGAAAGAAGUUUAGAGCAAAAAACAACAACACUGUAUAUCAGUUCAGUAUUACAAGAGAACAAUAUGGUACAUUAACAACCGAGGAUUUCUUUUAAAAGUGUGUACACCAUGCCAUAGUUGUCACAUAUUCCUACCCUGAUUAGUGAUAAAUAAAAUUGAUAAAGACUAAACAGUUUAACGUGGAUUACUGAAACCUUUUUAUGUGUGUUUUUUAGAGAACUAAUUACAACUGAAUCAACUAUAGAUUCGAUGUCAACUGGCAAAAGCAAUUAGGAAGAAAGGAUUGUCAAUGCAGUUCGGAUAAGUCAGCCAGCGAACAAUAUUUUCUAGAAAAGAAUGGGCAGAAAUGUAACAGGACCUAGCAAAUAUUGAGGCUACUUGAGUAUAAAAAGACUGAGUCAUAAAUUUGGACUGCAACCUGUCCCAGGAGCAUUCUGACAAGUUAUACCACUGUGUACAAAUUCUAAUGAAAACUAUGUAACUUGUUCAAAAUGCAAAAAUCAGAUUAUGUUAACUAUGUAAACUUUGCUGAAAAUCAUUUUCCUUUUCGAAACGCACUUAGCAUAUCUUUUUUCUUUCAUGAAUACGCAAGUUGCGUAUCUUUUCAUUGAUAGAAGGAGAGUACAAGCAUGAGGUUGCAACGCUUACAAGGCCAUAUACACGCUAGGCAUGGUGUACAAACGUAGGAGCAGACUAGAACAAGGGGGUUAAUUUGCUCAGCCCCAAAACAAAAAACUGGGAACUACGCGCCGGGGAUGAUGUUUUGUAUCCCGUUGGCGCCAGCCUUGGCCCAUAGGCGCGCCUCUUCCUUGAUGGUAUCGGAGAUGAGGGUGAGCGAUGGUCCGGCUCCGUCGAAGAUGCAUGCGUUGCGGUGCUUCCAGAGCCACCGUGCACAUGGAGGCCGGCGCAUGGUCGUGGGAAGAGCUUUACCAAGUCUGGAAGGGCGUGUUGGGGUCGGGGUGGUUGACCGCCGCGCGAGCCCAACCGAGGAUCUCAUGCCAAACUUAGCAUAUCUAUUACUUAGUAUAUCCAGUUGUGGUGCAUUAUAUAUGUUUAAAUUUUCUUGCUGCUAUGUGCACAGAUGAGUCCUUACCUAUUUCUUUGUCACAGUUCUGUAAUACUAUAGGAAUAAGUAUCACAUGCAUCCAUCCCUAAUCUCAGCUUCCCUUACAGGUUCUGAAAUUGACCUUGCUUCAGCCAACAUGCGUGUGGUCGUUCUGUCUCUUAGCAGGGGUCGAGGCCAUGGCUCACGGCUGGGGCUCAGCACAUCUGAAUCUCCGCUUGUGGUACAUGUCCCCAUAUCUGUUCAGGGUGGCGCUACAAGAUCAAAUCGAAACCAGAUCACAUGGCAGCUCAGUCUGGUAUGUAUAUCAUUCCCAACUGCCAAUUAAUUAUUCUGUGAUGUCUUCUCGUUUACUAAUCAGAGCAUGCUCUUGUCUGUACUAAUUAGAUCAUGCAUUCCUUCAAGGGCCUAGGUAGGUGUGAUGACGAGCACAAGUGGAUUGGAUAGUUGUCCUUCCACCCCCCCCCCCCUCUCCCCUUAUGUUCCUUAUAGUUCAUUGUUUUUCGUGUUGUUGCUUCUGCAGGUUCUGAAAAUUCAUUCAUAGGAAAUUCUAACGCGUGACUAUACAUAAUUUUGUAUUUUCCAGAGGUCUCUACAUUAUAUUUUCCAUAAUUUGAAAAUACUUAUCAUUUAAUUUGGAGCUGACGCAAGAUGCCAAAUUUAUUUAGUACAUGGUUAUAAGUUGCAUAAUCUGCAAUGUUGUUUAAUAAACUCAUGUUGAAAACGUUCUUGCCUUUAGAUUAUUAUAAUUAGCCCCACAUCUAUAUCUAUAUCAGAGUCUUCUUAAAUCACAUUUGCGAGCAUUUAUCACACUACCUAAUUUAGGUACAUCCAAAUCUAGCCUGGUGUGAAUUAUUUUCUUUGAACAUAAAGUAUUUUUGAAUUGUGGAAACCUUGCAUCUAUUUGUAUUUUCUGGAAAGCUGCAGAUCUUUCUUUGAAAACGAAGGAUCUGUGAUAUGUCAGCACAUGUUUUUCUUCAAAGGAGGUACCUCAUUUCUUACAUAGUAUGUUCAUUUCAAGGUUUAACUCAAUUAACACACAACAGAUUUGUUCAUAAGAAAGCAAUGAUCAAAAGUAUUUGUCCGAUGUUGGCUGUUACUCUCCUUUUCUGCGUACAAAGCUGCUAAUGUCAUGGCAUUCAACUUCUGUAUGGUGCCCCUCUACAUUUUGUUGCUCUAUUAACCUGAUUUUCUCUACCGUAAGUUACUCAUGUCAUUUUUCGUUUCUGUAGAUUGCCAAGAUAAAUGGAUGAUGCAUGGCUCAGAUGUUGAUUGCAAGGACUAUUAGAUAAUUAGAAUGUCAUUUUCACGAUCAAUGUUUCAAACAUUGUAGUAGAUUGCAAGGUCGAGAAUUAUGAUAAAACUAGAUAGUUUCGCAUCUUGUAAUCUUUGGAUCAUGUUCUAUGCAACGCUACACAAUCGAAUUAAUAUAUGAGGAAGGUUUAUUA